UACGGAGGGUGCAAGCGUUAUCCGGAUUUACUGGGUUUAAAGGGUGCGUAGGCGGGCCUAUAAGUCAGUGGUGAAAGCCCUUCGCUUAACGAAGGAAUUGCCAUUGAUACUGUAGGUCUUGAGUAUAGUUGAGGUGGGCGGAAUGUGUCAUGUGGCGGUGAAAUGCUUAGAUAUGACACAGAACACCGAUUGCGAAGGCAGCUCGCUAAACUAUAACUGACGCUGAGGCACGAAAGCGUGGGUAGCAAACAGG
rnacentral:rRNA from 1 species